rnacentral:tRNA from 1 species
AUCUAUAUAUUAUAAUAAUUAUAUUUGACUUCCAAUCAAAAAAUCUAAUACAACAUUAGUAUAGAUA